rnacentral:rRNA from 1 species
GAUGAACGCUGGCGGCGUGCCUAAUACAUGCAAGUCGAGCGGACGGACGAUAAUCUUGCUUCUCUGAUGUUAGCGGCGGACGGGUGAGUAACACGUGGAUUACCUACCUAUAAGACUUGGAUAACUUCGAGAAACCGUAGUUAAUACCGGAUAAUAUUUUGAACCGCAUGGUUCAAAAGUUAAAUACGGUCUUGCUGUCACUUAUAGAUGUAUCCGCGCUGCAUUAGCUAGUUGGUAAGGUAACGGCUUACCAAGGCAACGAUGCAUAGCCGACCUGAGAGGGUGAUCGGCCACACUGGAACUGAGACACGGUCCAGACUCCUACGCGAGGCAGAAGUAGGGAAUCUUCAGCAAUGGGCGAAAGCCUGAAGGAGCAACGCCGCGUGAGUGAUGAAGGUCCUCGGAUCGUAAAACUCUGCUAUUAGGGAAGAACAUAUGUGUAAGUAAAUGUGCACAUCUUGACGGUAGCUAAUCAGAAAGCAACGGCUAACUACGUG